rnacentral:misc_RNA from 1 species
UCUCCGUAGGUGAACCUGCGGAGGGAUCAUUACCGAGUGCGCGCCCCCCGGGGCCGACCUCCAACCCUUUGUGAAUCGUACUCGUUGCUUCGGGGGCGACCCUGCCGUCCGCGGCUGAGCGCCCCCGGGGUCAAUCAAACACUGCAUUCUCUGCGUCGGAGUAUUAGUAAAUCUAAUCAAAACUUUCAACAACGGAUCUCUUGGUUCUGGCAUCGAUGAAGAACGCAGC